rnacentral:rRNA from 1 species
CAGCCGCCGCGGUAAAACGUAGGGUGCGAGCGUUAGUCGGAAUUACUGGGCGUAAAGCGUGCGCAGGCGGUUCGUUAAGACAGAUGUGAAAUCCCCGGGCUUAACCUGGGAACUGCAUUUGUGACUGGCGAGCUAGAGUAUGGCAGAGGGGGGUAGAAUUCCACGUGUAGCAGUGAAAUGCGUAGAGAUGUGGAGGAAUACCGAUGGCGAAGGCAGCCCCCUGGGCCAAUACUGACGCUCAUGCACGGAAGCGUGGGGAGCAAACAGGAUUAGAUACCCCUGUAGUCCCUGUCUCUUAUAC